rfam:Glycine max cultivar Williams 82 chromosome 15, whole genome shotgun sequence.
UUCUUAUUGGAUUAUGACAACCACGUGUUCUAUUCUAAUUGACCAAUGACAACUACAAUACAUUUCAUCUUCCAUAGAGUUGACAUCCAAUCAGAUCAUGAUAUGUGAUCGUCAUCAUCC